rnacentral:SRP_RNA from 1 species
GCUGGGUGUGGUGGCGCAUGCCUGUGGUCCCAGCUACUUGGGAGGCUGAGGCAGGAGAAUUGCUUGAACCCAGGAGGCGGAGGUUGCAGUGAGCCGAGAUCAUGCCACUGCACUCCAGCCUGGGCAACAGAGUGAGACUCUGUCUCAA